CCUACGGGGGGCAGCAGUGAGGAAUAUUGGUCAAUGGGCGGAAGCCUGAACCAGCCAAGUCGCGUGAGGGAAUAAGGCCCUACUGGUCGUAAACCUCUUUUGCCGGGGAGCAAGGGCCGGGACGCGUCCCGGCCCGGAGAGUACCCGGAGAAAAAGCAUCGGCUAACUCCGUGCCAGCAGCCGCGGUAAUACGGAGGAUGCGAGCGUUAUCCGGAUUUAUUGGGUUUAAAGGGUGCGUAGGCGGGCUUCUAAGUCAGCGGUAAAAAUUCGGGGCUCAACCCCGUCCGGCCGUUGAAACUGGGGGC
rnacentral:rRNA from 1 species